GACAGAGGUGCCAAGCGUUAGGCGGAAUCACUGGGCUUAAAGCGUGUGUAGGCGGACCCGUAAGUACCUUGUGAAAUCCCACGGCUUAACCGUGGAACUGCUCGGUAUACUGCGGGUCUUGAGCCACCUAGGGGCGAGUGGAACAAAUGGUGGAGCGGUGAAAUGCGUAGAUAUCAUUUGGAACGCCAAUGGUGAAAACAACUCGCUGGGGGUGUGCUGACGCUGAGACACGAAAGCCAGGGGAGCGAACAGG
rnacentral:rRNA from 1 species